GAACGGCUGGCGCAGCUUACCAUGCAAGUCGAGCGGUAACAGGGGGUGCUUGCACCCCGCUGACGAGCGGCGGACGGGUGAGUAAUGCAUAGGAAUCUGCCCAGUAGUGGGGGAUAGCCCGGGGAAACCCGGAUUAAUACCGCAUACGCCCUUUGGGGGAAAGCAGGGGAUCUUCGGACCUUGCGCUAUUGGAUGAGCCUAUGUCGGAUUAGCUAGUUGGUGGGGUAAAGGCCUACCAAGGCGACGAUCCGUAGCUGGUCUGAGAGGAUGAUCAGCCACAUCGGGACUGAGACACGGCCCGAACUCCUACGGGAGGCAGCAGUGGGGAAUAUUGGACAAUGGGGGCAACCCUGAUCCAGCCAUGCCGCGUGUGUGAAGAAGGCUUUCGGGUUGUAAAGCACUUUCAGUGAGGAGGAAAACCUUCUGGUUAAUACCCAUGAGGCUUGACGUUACUCACAGAAGAAGCACCGGCUAACUCCGUGCCAGCAGCCGCGGUAAUACGGAGGGUGCAAGCGUUAAUCGGAAUUACUGGGCGUAAAGCGCGCGUAGGUGGUUUGAUAAGCGAGAUGUGAAAGCCCCGGGCUUAACCUGGGAAC
rnacentral:rRNA from 1 species